rnacentral:rRNA from 1 species
AUACGGAGGAUCCGAGCGUUAUCCGGAUUUAUUGGGUUUAAAGGGUGCGCAGGCGGGAGAUUAAGUCGGCGGUGAAAUUUUUCAGCUCAACUGUAAAAGUGCCUUCGAAACUGGUUUCCUUGAGUGUAGAUGAAGUAGGCGGAAUUUGUGGGGUAGCGGUGAAAUACAUAGAUAUCACGAGGAGCUCCGAUUGCGCAGGCAGCUUACUAAACUACUACUGACGCUCAGGCACGAAGGCGUGGGGAUCAAACAGGAUUAGAUACCCUGGUAGUCCACGCAGUAAACGAUGAUGGCUAACCGCUGGUUUAUUCGGAUCAGUGGCCAAGCGAAAGCGAUAAGCCAUCCACCUGGGGAGUACGACCGCAAGGUUGAAACUCAAAUGAAUUGACGGGG